rnacentral:tRNA from 1 species
GGCUGCUGUGCCGGGGGUUGCGCCGGCGGCUGCGUCUGCUGCUGCGGCGGCUGCGCCGGCGGCGUCGUCUGCUGUGCGGAAGCCGUGAGCGGCAGC